rnacentral:rRNA from 1 species
CAUUUAAAUAAAUUUCUUUACCUUAUAAAUUAAAAUUAUUUUUAAUGUAACAAAACAUUAAUUAAUAAAUUAGACGAUAAGACCCUAUCGAACUUUACUUUAGUUAAACUGGGGAAGUUAAUUAAUUAUCAUUUUAAAUAAAUUUAAUACAAAAAUGACCUAAUAAAAUUAAUUUUAUAAUCAAGUUACCAUAGGGAUAACAGUGUAAUAUUAUCUUAAAGAUCUUAUAUAAAAUAAUGAUUACAACCUCGAUGUUGACUUAAUAUUUCUUUAUUACGCAAUAGUAAUAUGAGAAAGUCUGUUCGACUUUUAAACAAUUACAUGAAUUGAGUUCAGACCGGCGUAAGCCAGGUCGGUUUCUAUCUUUUUUUUUUUUUUAACGGCACAAAGGGGCCAAAAAAAAAAUUUUUAUUUUUUCUU